rnacentral:tRNA from 1 species
GCUGGAAUAGUUCAGUUGGUUAGAGCAUGUGGCUGUUAUCCACAAGGUUGAAGGUUUAAGCCCUCCUUCUAGCG